rnacentral:rRNA from 1 species
UACAGAGGUCUCAAGCGUUGUUCGGAUUUACUGGGCGUAAAGCGUGCGCAGGCGGUUUUGUAAGCCAGAUGUGAAAUCCCCGGGCUUAACCUGGGAAUGGCAUUUGGGACUGCAAGGCUCGAGUGCGGCAGAGGAGACUGGAAUUCCUGGUGUAGCAGUGAAAUGCGUAGAUAUCAGGAGGAACACCGAUGGCGAAGGCAGGUCUCUGGGCUGACACUGACGCUCAUGCACGAAAGCGUGGGGAGCAAACAGG